rnacentral:rRNA from 1 species
AGAGUUUGAUCCUGGCUCAGGAUGAACGCUGGCGGCGUGCUUAACACAUGCAAGUCCGAACGAAGCACCUUAUUCUGAUUUCUUCGGAAUGAAAAAUUUGGUGACUGAGUGGCGGACGGGUGAGUAACGCGUGGGUAACCUGCCUCAUACAGGGGGAUAACAGUUAGAAAUGACUGCUAAUACCGCAUAAGACCACAGCACCGCAUGGUGCAGGGGUAAAAACUCCGGUGGUAUGAGAUGGACCCGCGUCUGAUUAGGUAGUUGGUGGGGUAACGGCCUACCAAGCCGACGAUCAGUAGCCGACCUGAGAGGGUGACCGGCCACAUUGGGACUGAGACACGGCCCAAACUCCUACGGGAGGCAGCAGUGGGGAAUAUUGCACAAUGGGGGAAACCCUUGAUGCAGCGACGCCGCGUGAGCGAUGAAGUAUUUCGGUAUGUAAAGCUCUAUCAGCAGGGAAGAAAAUGACGGUACCUGACUAAGAAGCACCGGCUAAAUACGUGCCAGCAGCCGCGGUAAUACGUAUGGUGCAAGCGUUAUCCGGAUUUACUGGGUGUAAAGGGAGCGUAGACGGAGUGGCAAGUCUGAUGUGAAAACCCGGGGCUCAACCCCGGGACUGCAUUGGAAACUGUCAAUCUAGAGUACCGGAGAGGUAAGCGGAAUUCCUAGUGUAGCGGUGAAAUGCGUAGAUAUUAGGAGGAACACCAGUGGCGAAGGCGGCUUACUGGACGGUAACUGACGUUGAGGCUCGAAAGCGUGGGGAGCAAACAGGAUUAGAUACCCUGGUAGUCCACGCCGUAAACGAUGACUACUAGGUGUCGGGCAGCAAAGCUGUUCGGUGCCGCAGCAAACGCAAUAAGUAGUCCACCUGGGGAGUACGUUCGCAAGAAUGAAACUCAAAGGAAUUGAC